GAUUAACGCUAGCGGCAGGCCUAAUACAUGCAAGUCGAACGGCAGCGGGUGUAGCAAUACAUGCCGGCGAGUGGCGCACGGGUGCGUAACGCGUAUGCAAUCUACCUGUAACUGGGGAAUAGCCUUCCGAAAGGAAGAUUAAUACCGCAUAAUAUCAUGAAGUGGCAUCAUUUUAUGAUCAAAACUCCGGUGGUUACAGAUGAGCAUGCGUGACAUUAGCUAGUUGGUGAGGUAACGGCUCACCAAGGCUACGAUGUCUAGGGGGUCUGAGAGGAUGAUCCCCCACACUGGUACUGAGACACGGACCAGACUCCUACGGGAGGCAGCAGUAAGGAAUAUUGGACAAUGGCCGCAAGGCUGAUCCAGCCAUGCCGCGUGCAGGAUGACGGUGCUCUGCAUUGUAAACUGCUUUUGUUCGGGAAUAAACCCUUUCACGUGUGAGAGGUUGAAUGUACCGAAAGAAUAAGGGACGGCUAACUUCGUGCCAGCAGCCGCGGUAAUACGAAGGUCCCAAGCGUUAUCCGGAUUUAUUGGGUUUAAAGGGUGCGUAGGCGGGCUAUUAAGUCAGUGGUGAAAGCUCCCAGCUCAACUGGGAAACUGCCAUUGAUACUGAUAGUCUUGAGUAUGAUUGAAGUGGGCGGAAUGUGUCAUGUAGCGGUGAAAUGCUUAGAUAUGACACAGAACACCGAUUGCGAAGGCAGCUCACUAAGCCAUAACUGACGCUGAUGCACGAAAGCGUGGGGAGCAAACAGGAUUAGAUACCCUGGUAGUCCACGCCCUAAACGAUGAUCACUCGAUGUGUGCGAUAAACUGUACGCGUCCAAGCGAAAGCAUUAAGUGAUCCACCUGGGGAGUACGACCGCAAGGUUG
rnacentral:rRNA from 1 species